rnacentral:rRNA from 1 species
GACGAACGCUGGCGGCGUGCUUAACACAUGCAAGUCGAACGGAAAGGCCCUGCUUUUGUGGGGUGCUCGAGUGGCGAACGGGUGAGUAACACGUGAGUAACCUGCCCUUGACUUUGGGGUAACUUCAGGAAACUGGGGCUAAUACCGGAUAGCAGCUCCUGCUGCAUGGUGGGGGUUGGAAAGUUUCGGCGGUUGGGGAUGGACUCGCGGCUUAUCAGCUUGUUGGUGGGGUAGUGGCUUACCAAGGCUUUGACGGGUAGCCGGCCUGAGAGGGUGACCGGCCACAUUGGGACUGAGAUACGGCCCAGACUCCUACGGGAGGCAGCAGUGGGGAAUAUGGCACAAUGGGCGGAAGUCUGAUGCAGCAACGCCGCGGGCGGGAUGACGGCCUUCGGGUUGUAAACCGCUUUCGCCUGUGACGAAGCGUGAGUGACGGUAAUGGGUAAAGAAGCACCGGCUAACUACGUG